UGGGAAAUGGUGCAACGGUAGCACGACUGACUCUGGAUCAGUUAAUCCUGGUUCGAAUCCAGGUUUCCCAG
rnacentral:tRNA from 1 species